GAUGAAGAACGUAGCGAAAUGCGAUAAGUAAUGUGAAUUGCAGAAAUCAGUGAAUCAUCGAAUCUUUGAACGCACAUUGCGCCCGCCAGUAUUCUGGCGGGCAUGCCUGUUCGAGCGUCAUUUCAACCAUCAAGCCCCCGGCUUGUGUUGGGGACCUGCGGCUGCCGCAGGCCCUGAAAACCAGUGGCGGGCUCGCUAGUCACUCCGAGCGUAGUAAUACAUCUCGCUCAGGGCGUGCUGCGGGUUCCGGCCGUUAAAAAGCCUUAUUUACCCAAGGUUGACCUCGGAUCAGGUAGGAAGACCCGCUGAACUUAAGCAUAUCAAUAAGCGGAGGA
rnacentral:misc_RNA from 1 species